rnacentral:lncRNA from 1 species
GUUGGAUGGACCCUACAGUGUUCUGUAACUGAACUAUUGUAGCUCAGUCUCAUUUUGGUUGGAUGGACCCUACAGUGUUCUGUAACUGAGAGGGUUUGUGUAUUUGUUGUGUAUAACUAGUGUGACUCGUACAACCUGUGCUGCCUGCUUUGUCACUUUCAAAUGUCACUCCUCUCUCUUUAGAGGGAGGUAGCUACUAGCUAGGUAGCGUGUUGUGUUCCAGGCUAGAGGGUGGUAGCUAUUAGCUAGGUAGCGUAUUGUGUUCCAGGCUAGAGGGUGGUAGCUACUAGCUAGGUAGCGUGUUGUGUUCCAGGCUAGAGGGUGGUAGCUACUAGCUAGGUAGCGUGUUGUGUUCCAGGCUAGAGGGAGGUAGCUACUAGCUAGGUAGCGUGUUGUGUUCCAGGCUAGAGGGUGGUAGCUAUUAGCUAGGUAGCGUGUUGUGUUCCAGGCUAGAGGGUGGUAGCUACUAGCUAGGUAGCGUGUUGUGUUCCAGGCUAGAGGGUGGUAGCUAUUAGCUAGGUAGCGUGUUGUGUUCCAGGCUAGAGGGAGGUAGCUACUAGCUAGGUAGCGUGUUGUGUUCCAGGC